AUAAAGAAUUAUAUAGAGUAGCUUGGAGUCUUUGAAACACAGCCUGCUUGUUGGUUCCUGAGGACCAGUUCUGUACUUACUCUGAUGUGUUCAGUUGUCCUGUAUGGUGCUGUGCGCCGUCAUAGGCAAGCUGAGCAUUGAGCAGAGCUGUGCUGAUGUAGUCAUGAAGAGCACGACUGCCCGCGUUGUCAUCCCCGCACUCCCCACUCAUCUGUCAACCAUGCUCCAAUGGCCGCCUCUGCACAUAUAUGCAAAACAGAUGGAAUCAUCCCUGUCCGCACUCUUCCCCCUAUUUCCAUGCCUUUCACAAACUGUAGCUAUACCGCCAUACAAACCCAUCCAAGUUCCGCGGACCGACAUAAAUCCACACCCUGGCAGUGCCACAUAUCCGAUAUACACGUAGACGCCACAUCUGGAUAUGAUCUGAAUAAAACGAAUCGCCUCGAGUAAGUUGCACAUCUAUUUCACCAUUAUGUCAACGCAUGAUUCUGCCUUUCGAAGGACAAACAUCAAAAAAAACACAAAACACGAUGGCACAGUCCAUCUUGAGCGCGAGAAGGGGAGUGAUGUCGCACGAAGGGAGAGGUAGAGGUGGGUGGUGGUUAAGAAAAGUUUUCCCCCUGUGAUUUAUGCUCCUUUCCCGCCUGGGAUAUGAAUCUGGGAUGAUGCUCCGGAGAGCGGCACUCCAGAUAAUGUUAGCCCAUUUAAAAAGAGCAGAUUUGUGUAGUCUAUCAGGGUCGCUGAGUAUUUUUUUUAUUAUUUUUUUUCCCCCUGUCUCCCUCCUCCUCCUCCGGCUCUCCAUAGUGAGAAAUUGGUUGUUAUCAUAGAUCACAGAUACUGCUCAAACCUCUUAUGAAAGAUGAAUUAAUUUCACUAAUGCUUUAAUGCAAAGCUCUCAUGAGGGAGGCAGACUGGUGAUAACCCCUGCCUCGUCCCUGCUUCCUCCACGUGUGAUUUAUGCCCUCUUUUAGUAGAUGAAACUGCCUACAUUUGCCAUCCAUCCGAGGCUUUGAGGAAUCCUAUUACAUGGAGAUCUUGGACGGAACAAUGUGCCACACACAGUCCCAAACCAGUUGCGUCGAGUCUCAGCUUGUUCAGGUCACAUGGUCUCAGCCAUGUCAUGAUAUUGGAGGGACAGAUUUGGGGAAAAGACAUUCGACCAGACAGACCAAGAGGGCAGCCACUGCAUCUUUGUUAACGUGCUCAUAACUGAUGUUCACUUCAAAUGAACUAUUUUAUUCGGUUAGAUUAGAUAUUUUAUAAACUAGUUUUUAUUUGUCAUAAGAACUCCGCUGCGGGAGGUUGUAGAGUGAUGCGCAGACAGAUGAGUUGGCUGGUGGAAGACAGAUGUUUGUUUCUCCGCAUCUGUCUUACCUUUUAUAGGUCCCCAUCAAUAAAGUGUCAUUGGGCUGGCUGUUGAUGACAUCAUGCUGUGAUAGUAGUCAGUGUGUGUGUCUUUGUGCGGGCACGUAUGGAAAAAAAAAUAAAAUGAAAAAAACUGCAAUUUCUGCGAAACUUGUCAACUUCUGAACUGAAGAAUGUAUGAUCAGUUCCAAUGAUGCUGGGAUCAAGGUUAAUAUAAAUAAUUAAAACUAAAAUUUAAAAAAAUUGUAUUAUCAACAUAAAAUAAAAAGGAAAAUGUUUCACUUGAACCCAACUAGAACAAUAGUAAAAUGUACAUUUUGUUUUUUGUCAAUUCAUAUCAUACAUGAGGUUUCAGCUUUCAUUCCAUAUUGCAGUAUCUUGGGUGGGACCACACCUAAAUUACUAUAAACAACUCUGCAUUAACACAGAACUGCUUUCUUCUUCUCCCACCCUGUUCUGUCCUGUCUUGUCCUAACCUACAUUGUCCUGUCCUUCCCACUCAGGUUGUAGCACUCUUUUCCCGCAUAGAAAUCAACUGCAAUAUGAAAUUGUAGUAUGAAUGUAUAUAUGUACAGUAUAUGUUCACUCUCUUAUGGCUGGCUGUCCAUCCAUCCAUUUUCCAUAUGGAGCUCAUCUUGUUAUAUGAGCCUUGUUAUGUGCCUUUCUGGUGAAAGGCAGACACGGCCGCAGUCUGGUCGGUGACAAUCACAAGGCCGUAUGACGACAGACAACCAUAUAACUUCAUAUUCAUACCUUCACUGAGCAUGAACUGAACCCAUGCUGCCUCCAUCCAAGUGAGUCCAGCGUACCACACCAGCCUCAGUGACCCCGCAAUUGUAUGCGAAUGACUCAAUAAUUUGAGUUAAGUUCCACAGUAUUCUCUGUGCUACAACAUGGUUCAUGAUGGGGUGGGGGAUCAUAGCUGAAUUUGGUCUGUUGUCUUCCGUCUCCGUUUAAUUGUAAUUUAAUAGUCUCUAAAUGAAUUACAUUUGCAAUUCAUACUCAUGACCAUUUAUUUUAAUUUGUCGAUGUGUAAUGUGAGAUUAAUUAACAUAUUCAUCAAGAAGUAAAUUUGUAAAUAUCUUUUGAAAGGUUGCCAUAAUGGAUUUGGUGUCUUGAUGGCUUACUUUGUUCUGACAAUAUUUUCACCCCCUACUGAGCAUUAAUCUAUGUAUGCGGCUGCUGCAGUAAUACAUGUCUCUGCAAACCAUUCCAUCAUACAGAUUUGUCAUUGCCCAAUAUAAAUAAAGUAUACGACCAAAACAUUAAUGUGCCCUUGCUAUUGAUUGUUUUACACGGGAGGAGAAAAAAAUAAAUAAAUAAA